AGAGCCUUCGCAGCGGAACCAUGCCCAGCCCGGGGGGGCAAUUGCCUCCCCCCUAAAAAAAUUAAAACUUGUGUUAAAGGAUGGGUUUUUUAGUAAAUUGCCCCUCAACAGGUUAAAAAUUGAACGUUGUUUUUGGCAUUUCCGCCCGAUUCUUUUGCUCGAGACUCCGCCCGUGCGCCCUAGGUUCUCUUCUCUCCGCUUGACGCUUGAAUCCCGUCGAUCGUCGUGAGCUCGUCAAUCGGCAUUGCUGUUCGUGGUGCUCGUGGGUUUUCUCUGCGUUGAUCAAUCGCUUGCUCACUCGGAUUUGGAGGAGGCGAGAACUUCAUUUUUCUUCGGCAUCUCUGCGCUCAGUCGCUCACGCUCUGCAGGCUCCGGUCUGUACCUUCCCUUACCCGUCCCGGAGACUAUAUGAGAGGAUCACAAUCUUGAUUUUGUUCUCGGGCUACCAAGAACGCGGCGAGGGAUGUUAAAUUCAUCAGCCAUUUUUGGCGUGAAUUGUGGAAGAUACUCAAAACUGCUGUCAACUUGAGCUCAGCUUAUCAUCCGCAAUCCGACGGCCAAACCGAAGUGGUAAAUCGAACCUUGGGCAAUAUGUUGAGAUGUCUAGUACAAGAACAACCAAAGCUUUGGGAUGAACUGUUGAGCCAGGCGAAGUUCGCCUACAACAGCAUGACCAACCGUUCAACAGGUACUUCUCCUUUUCACAUUGUCUAUACAAAGCCACCUAAUCAUACAAUUGAUGUCGCCAUUCUUCCCAAAUGUCACAGCCGGCAAGCCGCUGAGUUAGUUGAUCAGUUCUCAUAAAUGCUCCAAAAUGUGCGACUCAAGUUGCUAUCAUCUAACGAAAAUUACAAACUGGCUGCUUAUACCAAUCGCCAAGAAAGAAUAUUCUAGCCGGGUGAAUUAGUGAUGAUCAAAUUGUGCCGUGAAAGGCUUCCCGCGGGCACAUACUCCAAAUUGGGAAGGCACAAAGUCGGUCCUUUUCCCAUUUUACAGAAGAUAAAUGACAACGCCUACGUCAUAGAUUUAUCAGCCGAAUUUGGAACAGCUUCUACGUUCAACGUCGUCGACAUACAUCCUUACUACCCAGCGAACGACGCACAGCAGCACCUUCGUCGGCGGGGGAGUCCUGAUGUGGAUCAUCAUAUAUUACAUAGCCCUCAGGGAGUAUUAUACCGGUUCUGUUAUGCUUUAGUCCUUUUGCUGCAUUAGCUAUUUCUCCACUAUUGUUUUUCCCUUUUUAGUACCUGGUAGUACUAGCUCACUUUUAGUUAUGCUUUGCUUUUAGUAGUACUUAGUUUAUAUAUAUACUGUAAUGCUUGGAGGAGAAAGGUAGACAAGAAAUAUAUCCAUUUAGCUUGCUGAUAAGCAUCCCCUGUUUUGUGAGUUACUGUUUCAUUCGUUGCUUGCUGAGAGCCCCCUCUUUCGAUUACCUACAUCACAAUCUUUUGUAAUCUGAUGUAUUUUUUAUGAUGAUGAUGAUGAGUGAUGAUUUUGAUGUUCAUGAGA